ensembl:lincRNA
UUCUUUAUAUCCUCAUAGAUAUCUCGGCACUAUGGAAUGUAAGGAAGUGUGUGGUUUUGGCAAGUGCUUCUUCAAGGCCAAUGGCUCCACCCAGAGAAUACACUGUUGACUUCUUCAUUCCUUGACUACGUUUUCUUACCUGCAGGUGCCCUCUUCCCCAGAAAUCCACCUCUACAGACUUCUCCCGCAAUAUUGGGUUUCAGGCCAACUAUGCUCCCCAUCCUAGCCCCCUUAUACCAACCUCCCUCACAUCUACUCUCAGGGAAUCAGCUCCCAGGGUCCUAGUUCCUUCCUCUGCUCAUAUGGCUCCUGCAAUGGAUGUUUCUACCAAGCCAGCUCAGUGAUAGUUCAUGGUGCCCAGUGUGUGGCAGUUGCUGUGCGUGUGUGACUUGUGUUAUAAACAGAGAGUAUACAACUACUAGGCUCUGAAGAACACCACCCUGGUAGAAGGCUCCACACCUCCUGGCCCUGCUGCUGUUCUUUCUACUUCACAACCCUCUGUCAGUGUGUUGCUUCUGGGCCACACUGUCUGAAGAAAGAUGGGGGUCCUAAAAUAGGGCUGCAUCCAUUCAGUGGCCUAGCUACCAUCACGAGCAUGCCACCCUAUUCUUCUGGGGAAAAGUGAGAAUGUGGAACAGGGGUUGUAGGUGGGGGGAGAUUAAUAGAGAUGGGCCAGUGACAGGACUGAGCAUAGGAUCUUACCACUGUGGAUCAGUGGCCCAGGAACUGGGUAAUUUGGGAAAAUUGUUGUCACACUUAGGGUAUUCCUGGAGUCUAGGGUGUAGAGACCAGGGGUGCAACGAAGCAUGUAUAGUGUACAGACCACCUCCAUAGCAAAGAAGUAGCCAGGUCAAAAUUUCAAUGUGUGAAGAAAGAGAAAACCUGUAUUUAAUAGUAUGGUGUCCGACACUAGCAUUUUCCAAGAAAAAUCUCUGUCCUUUCUGUUUUAGACUUCAGUCUUUUUUAUAUAAAAUAUCUGAUACUUCAAAUUGAACUUCUUUCCAUUGACAGCCUAUCUUUUUAUCUAACUUUACCUGCUUUGCCCAUGGAUUCUUUUUCUACCCUGGUGUUUGGUUUCAUGUCGUUCUGAAAUCAGGGGUAUGUUAUAUAGAUGGCUGUGUUGCUGAGUCUGGGUCAAAAAAACAUGGACAAAGACAAGGAAAGAGUUGGGGAAACUGUGUUCAGAAUUCUUGUGUGCGCUUUUUCAGAAAUAAACUCAGACAGCCAGGUUGUCUCUGCCCCUGCAGUUGCCUGACUUCUUGCUCCCUAACAUAAGCUGUGGGCAAGAUAGACAUGGGAGGAGACAGAGGGCAGGAGCCACAAGAUGACUAUCAUUAGAAUAAGAACAGUGGAGAAGGUAAGAUUGUGACUGCCAAGCCAAGAAGAUUCACACCAAGGAGGUGUGGCCCAGGACACAGAGGAACUUCAGUACUAUUCUAGAGUCACACUGUAUUUUGUAAUGCUAAUUUCUCUCAUCACAGCAUUCAUACCUGAUAGGUGUGCUUCUAUCCAGUUACCUUUUCUGCAGUGCCCUGUUGGGCGCUUGGAAGUAUGAAGUACCUUGCUGAUUCUAGACAGGCCUCUCUAGAGUCCAUCUGGAAGAAGCCAGGCACCUGGCUACCUCACUUCUAGAUGUGUCCAGUGGAUUUUAACACAUUCAUGGAUAAGUACAAAUUCUUGUUGAUGAGUGAUGAGGCACACUCUCGAGGCAAGAUGGAGUUGAAAGUUAAGUUUUGGCCUCAAAGGCAAGCAUAAUUGCCCCUCAGACUCUCCUACAAGCCUUGCUAGUCUCCUCUGUGUACCCUAGGAACUUAGUACACCCUUCAUUACCAUCAAAAUUCACAAGAGGCAAACUAGGCAUGUUUUCCACAGUAUAGACAAACAUGCUGACCGGUCAAGGUGCUACUUAACACCUCAAUACCAAACAUCAUUAUAUGAUAUUUCUCAGUAUCAAAAUAAACAAACAAACAAACAAAUAAAUAAAUAAAAUCAAUAAUGCAUCAGUGGACUUUGAGCCCAGAAAAUUUCAGGAGAGUCUUGUUUGUUUUAUUUUGUUUUGUUUUUAGAGACAGACUUUCUCUGUGUAGUGUUGGCUGUCCUGGAACUCACUCUGUAAAACAGGCUGGCCUCAAACUCAAAGAUCCAUCUGCUUCUGCUUCCCAAGUGCUGGAAUUUUAGGUGUGUGCCACCACUGCCUGGCCACACUUUCUUCUCAAUGACUUCUAUUUAUCAAGAAGAAGAAAAAAUGUUAGCCAGUAACUAGCCCUAAAGGAGGAAAUUGGUUUUCUGCAAGCACCCAACUAUCUUUUCUGCCUGCAUCUUUCCUCUCCUUACACCAAUACCUUAUGGAGAUAGCAAGUCAUAUUUUGGGGGAGUCUCUCCUUCUUACCUACACUUGAUCUCACUUUACUACUAACAAGUCAAAACCAGAGGAUGCCCCUACUAGUUCAAUGGUUCUCAAACUUUAGAUGCCUCAGAAUCACUGAGAAAACAGGGUACAUGAGUUUGGGGACUCCACCCCUGGGUAUGUCAGAGUGGUAAAUGUUACUUUUCACUUAAAUGGUCAGUUUGUAAGUUCCUACAUACUGGAAUCCAGGCUUCUUCAUGAUCUACAAGAACCAAAAACUGCCUCUGUCUCCCUCGGUAGACUCUACCAAAGUCAAUUCCAUCCAUUCUUUCAAACCAAAGGACUGUGAUAUCUAUUACUGGGAGAAGGAAUGAAGAUAAUAUAUUUAAAUAAUAAAAAACUGUCAAACAAUGUAAAUUUGUGAAUUGUAAUUACCAUAUUCAUAUGUAUGAACCUUACAGAUAACAUGUAAGGUAAAAUUAACAUGCCACAGAUAAAUAUUUAUAAUAUUGAAAUAUAUUGGUUCAGAACAAGCGUAAGUGAGAAAAGCUAUAAUACAUUCAUAGAGGGUUAUAUAAUGUACAUUUACAUAUGCAUACAAAUAUACUUGACAAUGUUAAGUUUAUUUUAGGAUAUAAAAGAAAAAAGUUUCUAUUGGUUUUUUCCAUAUUCUAUAACUGUAUUCCAUUUUUGUGCCUAAUGUUACAAUUUGAAAAAAUAAUAAGAGCUAAAGAAAGUAAAUAAAUAAAAACUAGAAAGCAUACGGACCUUGUGAGGUUCCUUUCAAGCCGUGUGAGAGGUGAGUCAGGGUAAUGUACUCUUUGGGGUUGAUUCAUGCUAAUAUGGUUCUCUCUGUUACAGGCUUGGACAAGUGGUGCUCAGACUCCAAGGACUUCCCAAACUUCAGGCUGCAGUCACCUCCAAAGGCAGUGGCCCCCUGCUCUGGCUGGUCAAACGGAACCAAGUCCGUCUUCCUGAGAGGUUUGGUCCCCUUCAACCAGCUACAGCAGGGCUGGCAAAGCUCAAUCUUUGGAGGAAGAGAAGAGGACAGAAAAUAGCUGCCUUGCUUAUGAAAAGCAAUGCUGGCUUUGCUGUCGUAGCCUCAUGUUCCCAGGAAGGAAGAAGGAAGGAGAAAGCCCAGGUUCACAAGAUCACAGGUCACAUGCUCAACACACAGAGUCCUUUGCCUUUGCACCCACAUUUAGAGCCAUGCACACACCUUUCAUGCACACCCACUAAUGAUGCUAAGGAUGGAACUUGGGACAACCUUAGACAGUCAGUGGCAGAGUAUGAUACACAGGAGGCAGGUCUUCUGCUCACAAGGACACAGAAGCAUAAGUAAGGCCACUGACCAUGGAAACACAACACGGUACAAUGGAAAUGCAGGGCAGCACAUGUUUAAUCCAACAUAUAAUUCAUAUAUGUGUGUGUAUGCAUAUAUAUGUAUAUAUGAAUAUGGAUGUAUAUGAGUAUAUAUAGUUCACUGAAUUUGACCGUGACAUUCUCCAUCAUUCUCCAUGAAGCCGAGAACCUUGUGUACACCUAAAUUAUAGUACACAGAAAGAGGUUACCAAGCUCCCAAUGGCUGAUACCAGUAAUUAAGGUGAAAGCCUGGCUUCCUGUUUGAAUCCUGCCCAUCUUGUCUAUUAGCUAUGAUGUGUGCUCAGUCAAAUAGCCUCAGUUACCUCCGUAAAAACAUUAGUUGCUUCUUCACAAGUAAAUGGAAAGAGUGACCUGGCUCACAUCAUUGUUGUGAGAUUUUGAGAAGACAAUGUCUGUAAAUAACCAGCCAUAAUCACUCAGAGAAUGUGUAUCUUGCUAUUAUGUCAUGCCCAGAGGUAUGGCUCCCAGAGAAGGAAGAACAAAUUUUAAAAGAUAUUAUUUCCAAAAUAAAUUUUACAUUUAUUUUGGUAUACUUAUAUUCCCACUGUUGAUUCUACUAGCAUGCAGCGUACAUUCAUCCUAGUGUAUACUGUUAGUAUAUAGUAAUUUUUGCUAAAAUUGCUUCACGUGUGAGAUUCUACUGCCUGGGAAGAGGUUCCUGACAGCUGUUGAGCUUGCUCUAUAGCCAUAGCCUCUCCUGGGUGUGUGAGACUAUGACACAUGUUUUCUAAAGGCAAAGAAUAAACACGGCUGCAGCUGGCUGCCCUCCCCUCCACUCUGAACCUGUUCCCUCAUGAAAAGAAUGGAAACAUCGAUAUUAUCUAUAAUAAAAAGAAUCUGUAAGAGUGAAAAAUUAUACAAGGGUCUAAAACUGGGACUGGGUGCACAAUGUGGUUUUUCUCUUUGACAAUGCUUUUAAAACCAAAUUGGUAUUCAUUAAACUUUUCUCUAAUAA